rnacentral:lncRNA from 1 species
GGCAGUGCUCGGGAUCUUUGCUGAUGUCCAAGUUCAUCUCUCGGGGAGACCGAGUUUGAAUCAAAUCUGCGUGCGCCCAGCUGUCAAAUCUGCAAACCUAUCACGCCAGACAAUGGGCCGCCGCGGAGGACAGACAAGAAUGGCUCAUUUUGAUCGAGGGGGGUAAAUUGAAAAGGGCACGGGCUUUGGUUGAAGUUUGAGGCCCGGGUGUCAGGGCGGGGAGAAGAAGAGGAGGAAGGAGGAGGGUUGGGCCGCUCUCCAUUCAACCACACAUCAGCCAGGCGCGCCCCUCGGCUGCAGCGGCUGCUUGCAGGCGGGCUGCAUAUUGUGUGGAGUCGCCAAAGAGGGUCUGCGCCUCGGGGCGCGCCCCAAACCCGGGGGACAUCCUACGGAUCCGCACUUCUCUUGUGCUGUACGCGUGUUCCUCCAGGCCAGUUAUGGUCAUGUGGCCAGAUCUGAUGAAUCAGAUGUGGCAGAAAGGAUGCGAAGAAGCUCUGAGCAGGUGCCCUCCCUCUACAUGUUCCCACCAUCCUGCGUCCUUGUGCUGCGCCGGACCAGGCAUGCAAGAACAACACACCAAGGAUGGCGGAGCAACAAGAUAGAAGAGGCCUGAGUCCCAGGAUGACUGCCUGGAGCACAGCUGUCUGCCUGCUCAGGGCCUUGUGUCACAUACUAUAAUGUGAGAGACAAAUAAACUUGUCAUAUUUAAGCCAGUAUUAUAUUGGGUCUUCGAUACAUGCAAACAGUCUUUGUAGAACUCAUGCACCCAAAUUAUAAUGAAAGAGAAGUAAAGGAAAAUAAAUUCAAAAAACAAUUGUUUAUUGAAUAUCUAUCAGGGACCAGCCCUCUGCUAGGCUGCUAUGGGAAAUACAGAAUAAUAUUGACUCUGAAGGAAAGUGUAAUUUCACUGGGGAGAUGAGCUGCAUAUCUGAAAUAAUCAAACCAUAUUGUAAAGAAGUGUAGGAAUAAUUGUCAACAUGAGUGGAAAUAAAAAUAACAGUCAGAGGAGAUAGGAAGAAAGGUAGAAAAUGAAAUGGAGUCAUGCCA